UGGGAUACGACCUAGGGGUCAUUCCCUAGCUAUAUUGCAUUUUUUGUGAGCAUGAAGAAUGCGGGGUUAUCUUGUGACGAUAAGACUUCAUGUGAACUCUUCAAGGUUUUUCUCACAAACAGAGGUUACACCCGGUCGCCGAGACAGGGCUUCACCGUUGUCUUUCUUCGGGUUUCGUUGCAUGCCGGUCGUCUUGACUAUCCCUACGGCCGCCCGUCCCACUCCUUACGGUACAUUUUUAAUAAAAGCUCUUAAUAUAGAAUAAACAAUUUUAGGGAUAAAGACGUGAUUAUGAUCUCAUGAUAUUAAUCAUCAUAUGAUUAAUAAUAUAUGUUGUAUACCAGCCC
rnacentral:lncRNA from 1 species